UGUGGCAGAUGUCACACCGUCUCCUCUCUUCUUUCAGUCUGUUUUCAUUGUUCAUCUGCACUCCUCUCUCGUGUCCUGAAUGGAUGUGUUGUUGGAGUCUCUGUGAGUCUGUGCGCAGGUCAUCUCUCUGUGGGACACGGUCAGAGUCUGUCCUGUACUGUCUGGAUCAUCUGACCGCUGUGAGCUGGGAGUGAGAGACGACUGACACAUGAAGGACACAGACUUUAUGUUGCAGCACCACGGCCAGUAGGGCUGUCACCUACAUCUCAGCUGCUCUAGAGUAGACUCACUUGAGUGAGAUGAUGCUCUGCGCCACUACAGGACGCGCGAGCGUGUUUACUGCGAAGUAACACGUGACUAACUAGAACCGAAAGUGAAAGAGGAUGAAAAGAAGAGACGCCAUUUCAAGGUUUUAAACCUGUCAACAUUAGAUAUUUAAACCGCCUGUUUUGUGGUAAGUUAAGAAUGUAUUUAUUUAUUAAGAAUUGAUCAUGUAAGUGUAUGUCGCCUACACUGAGCUGCUUUUUGUGUGUUGCUGUUCUUUACAUUAGAUUUAAACCUCGAUCAUUCGACAGUUUAACAGCUCUGGACAAAAUGGCCGAAACGUAAUUUAGACAACUGAAGUGCGUAGCUGAAUUAUUCUGAUAUACAGACUUUGACUAUUGAAGAGGACGAAGGUCGGAAGAAUACGGAGACAGAAGAAUGCGAGUUCCAUAAAUAUUUUACUUUAAACUGUAAAUCCUAAUUGUUGCAGACAUGCACUGUACUUCCAUUACGCCUCCUACCAACUCCUCCUCCUCAAAAAGAAAAAAGAAAAAAAAAGAAGAUAAAAAGGACCUAAACCUAUAUGGUAUCCGAGUAUCAGAUACUGAAAGGAUUUGCUAAAGUGAAUUAAAUGGCAUCAUAUGACCCCUUUA